AGUCGUUGCAAGUUCCCGAUAGGCUCUGGAAAAAGCCAGAGAUUCCUUGUAACCGAAUAAAAAUUAGGGGGAAUAUUUAUAAUG
rnacentral:sRNA from 2 species